UGGUACGGUGCAUUUACUCGCUGUUCCUUUUUCCUAUGCAUAUACCUCUUUGAAAAAUGAAUGUAAAGGGGCAUAGGGCAUGGGAAAAUGGCGCAGCUGAGCCCCUCUGCAGUACUAA
rnacentral:pre_miRNA from 14 species